AUUGAACGCUGGCGGCAGGCUUAACACAUGCAAGUCGAACGAGUGGCGGACGGGUGAGUAAUGCUUGGGAAUCUACCUUAUGGAGGGGGAUAACUACUGGAAACGGUAGCUAAUACCGCGUACCAUAGGAUGAACCCAAGUGGGAUUAGGUAGUUGGUGAGGUAAAGGCUCACCAAGCCGACGAUCUCUAGCUGGUCUGAGAGGAUGACCAGCCACACUGGGACUGAGACACGGCCCAGACUCCUACGGGAGGCAGCAGUGGGGAAUAUUGCACAAUGGGGGCAACCCUGACGCAGCCAUGCCGCGUGAAUGAAGAAGGCCUUCGGGUUGUAAAGUACUUUCGGUCGGGAGGCGUUACCGACAGAAGAAGCACCGGCUAACUCCGUGCCAGCAGCCGCGGUAAUAC
rnacentral:rRNA from 1 species